UACGUAGGGUGCGAGCGUUGUCCGGAAUUACUGGGCGUAAAGCGUGCGCAGGCGGUUCGUUGUGUCUGAUGUGAAAGCCCCGGGCUCAACCUGGGAAUGGCAUUGGAAACUGGCGAGCUAGAGUGUGGCAGAGGGGGGUGGAAUUCCGCGUGUAGCAGUGAAAUGCGUAGAGAUGCGGAGGAACACCGAUGGCGAAGGCAGCCCCCUGGGCUGACACUGACGCUCAGGCACGAAAGCGUGGGGAGCAAACAGG
rnacentral:rRNA from 1 species